UUAAGCGACUAAGCGUACACGGUGGAUGCCCUGGCAGUCAGAGGCGAUGAAGGACGUGCUAAUCUGCGAUAAGCGUCGGUAAGGUGAUAUGAACCGUUAUAACCGGCGAUUUCCGAAUGGGGAAACCCAGUGUGUUUCGACACACUAUCAUUAACUGAAUCCAUAGGUUAAUGAGGCGAACCGGGGGAACUGAAACAUCUAAGUACCCCGAGGAAAAGAAAUCAACCGAGAUUCCCCCAGUAGCGGCGAGCGAACGGGGAGGAGCCCAGAGUCUGAAUCAGUGUGUGUGUUAGUGGAAGCGUCUGGAAAGGCGCGCGAUACAGGGUGACAGCCCCGUACACAAAAAUGCACAUAUUGUGAGCUCGAUGAGUAGGGCGGGACACGUGGUAUCCUGUCUGAAUAUGGGGGGACCAUCCUCCAAGGCUAAAUACUCCUGACUGACCGAUAGUGAACCAGUACCGUGAGGGAAAGGCGAAAAGAACCCCGGCGAGGGGAGUGAAAAAGAACCUGAAACCGUGUACGUACAAGCAGUGGGAGCCUCUUUUAUGGGGUGACUGCGUACCUUUUGUAUAAUGGGUCAGCGACUUAUAUUCUGUAGCAAGGUUAACCGAAUAGGGGAGCCGAAGGGAAACCGAGUCUUAACUGGGCGUUAAGUUGCAGGGUAUAGACCCGAAACCCGGUGAUCUAGCCAUGGGCAGGUUGAAGGUUGGGUAACACUAACUGGAGGACCGAACCGACUAAUGUUGAAAAAUUAGCGGAUGACUUGUGGCUGGGGGUGAAAGGCCAAUCAAACCGGGAGAUAGCUGGUUCUCCCCGAAAGCUAUUUAGGUAGCGCCUCGUGAAUUCAUCUCCGGGGGUAGAGCACUGUUUCGGCAAGGGGGUCAUCCCGACUUACCAACCCGAUGCAAACUGCGAAUACCGGAGAAUGUUAUCACGGGAGACACACGGCGGGUGCUAACGUCCGUCGUGAAGAGGGAAACAACCCAGACCGCCAGCUAAGGUCCCAAAGUCAUGGUUAAGUGGGAAACGAUGUGGGAAGGCCCAGACAGCCAGGAUGUUGGCUUAGAAGCAGCCAUCAUUUAAAGAAAGCGUAAUAGCUCACUGGUCGAGUCGGCCUGCGCGGAAGAUGUAACGGGGCUAAACCAUGCACCGAAGCUGCGGCAGCGACACUAUGUGUUGUUGGGUAGGGGAGCGUUCUGUAAGCCUGUGAAGGUGUACUGUGAGGUAUGCUGGAGGUAUCAGAAGUGCGAAUGCUGACAUAAGUAACGAUAAAGCGGGUGAAAAGCCCGCUCGCCGGAAGACCAAGGGUUCCUGUCCAACGUUAAUCGGGGCAGGGUGAGUCGACCCCUAAGGCGAGGCCGAAAGGCGUAGUCGAUGGGAAACAGGUUAAUAUUCCUGUACUUGGUGUUACUGCGAAGGGGGGACGGAGAAGGCUAUGUUGGCCGGGCGACGGUUGUCCCGGUUUAAGCGUGUAGGCUGGUUUUCCAGGCAAAUCCGGAAAAUCAAGGCUGAGGCGUGAUGACGAGGCACUACGGUGCUGAAGCAACAAAUGCCCUGCUUCCAGGAAAAGCCUCUAAGCAUCAGGUAACAUCAAAUCGUACCCCAAACCGACACAGGUGGUCAGGUAGAGAAUACCAAGGCGCUUGAGAGAACUCGGGUGAAGGAACUAGGCAAAAUGGUGCCGUAACUUCGGGAGAAGGCACGCUGAUAUGUAGGUGAAGUCCCUCGCGGAUGGAGCUGAAAUCAGUCGAAGAUACCAGCUGGCUGCAACUGUUUAUUAAAAACACAGCACUGUGCAAACACGAAAGUGGACGUAUACGGUGUGACGCCUGCCCGGUGCCGGAAGGUUAAUUGAUGGGGUCAGCGCAAGCGAAGCUCUUGAUCGAAGCCCCGGUAAACGGCGGCCGUAACUAUAACGGUCCUAAGGUAGCGAAAUUCCUUGUCGGGUAAGUUCCGACCUGCACGAAUGGCGUAAUGAUGGCCAGGCUGUCUCCACCCGAGACUCAGUGAAAUUGAACUCGCUGUGAAGAUGCAGUGUACCCGCGGCAAGACGGAAAGACCCCGUGAACCUUUACUAUAGCUUGACACUGAACAUUGAGCCUUGAUGUGUAGGAUAGGUGGGAGGCUUAGAAGUGUGGACGCCAGUCUGCAUGGAGCCGACCUUGAAAUACCACCCUUUAAUGUUUGAUGUUCUAACGUUGACCCGUGAUCCGGGUUGCGGACAGUGUCUGGUGGGUAGUUUGACUGGGGCGGUCUCCUCCUAAAGAGUAACGGAGGAGCACGAAGGUUGGCUAAUCCUGGUCGGACAUCAGGAGGUUAGUGCAAUGGCAUAAGCCAGCUUGACUGCGAGCGUGACGGCGCGAGCAGGUGCGAAAGCAGGUCAUAGUGAUCCGGUGGUUCUGAAUGGAAGGGCCAUCGCUCAACGGAUAAAAGGUACUCCGGGGAUAACAGGCUGAUACCGCCCAAGAGUUCAUAUCGACGGCGGUGUUUGGCACCUCGAUGUCGGCUCAUCACAUCCUGGGGCUGAAGUAGGUCCCAAGGGUAUGGCUGUUCGCCAUUUAAAGUGGUACGCGAGCUGGGUUUAGAACGUCGUGAGACAGUUCGGUCCCUAUCUGCCGUGGGCGCUGGAGAAUUGAGGGGGGCUGCUCCUAGUACGAGAGGACCGGAGUGGACGCAUCACUGGUGUUCGGGUUGUCAUGCCAAUGGCACUGCCCGGUAGCUAAAUGCGGAAGAGAUAAGUGCUGAAAGCAUCUAAGCACGAAACUUGCCCCGAGAUGAGUUCUCCCUGACUCCUUGAGAGUCCUGAAGGAACGUUGAAGACGACGACGUUGAUAGGCCGGGUGUGUAAGCGCAGCGAUGCGUUGAGCUAACCGGUACUAAUGAACCGUGAGGCUUAACCUU
rnacentral:rRNA from 1 species